rnacentral:rRNA from 1 species
GGUGGGUGAUGAAGGCUUUCGAGUUGUAAAACCCUGUCGUGAACGAAGAAGAAAGUUUAUGGGANUNCUAUGGACUUUUUGACUGUACUUCAAAAGGAAGCCCCGGCCAACUACGUGCCAGCAGCCGCGGUAAGACGUAUGGGGCAAGCGUUGUUCGGAUUUACUGGGUGUAAAGGGCGUGUAGGUGUCCUUACAAGUCGGAUAUGAAAUCUUAAAGCUUAACUUUAAAAUUGUAUUUGAAACUGUAAGGAUAGAGUUCAGAAUAGGAGAAUGGAAUUCCCGGUGUAGGGGUGAAAUCUGUAGAUAUCGGGAAGAACACCAGUGGCGAAGGCGAUUCUCUGGUCUGAUACUGACACUGAGACGCGAAAGUUGGGGGAGCAAACAGGAUUAGAUACCCUGGUAGUCCCNACUGUAAACGUUGGACACUAGGUGUUGGGAGUAUCGACCCUUCCAGUGCCGUAGUUAACACGUUAAGUGUCCCACCUGGGGAGU